AACGAACGCUGGCGGCAUGCCUAACACAUGCAAGUCGAACGAGAUCUUCAGGUCUAGUGGCGCACGGGUGCGUAACGCGUGGGAAUCUGCCCUUUGGUUCGGAAUAACAGUUGGAAACGACUGCUAAUACCGGAUGAUGACGAAAGUCCAAAGAUUUAUCGCCGGAGGAUGAGCCCGCGUAGGAUUAGCUAGUUGGGGUGGUAAAGGCGCACAAAGGCGACGAACCUUAGCUGGUCUGAGAGGAUGAUCAGCCACACUGGGACUGAGACACGGCCCAGACUCCUACGGGAGGCAGCAGUGGGGAAUAUUGGACAAUGGGCGAAAGCCUGAUCCAGCAAUGCCGCGUGAGUGAUGAAGGCCUUAGGGUUGUAAAGCUCUUUUACCCGGGAUGAUAAUGACAGUACCGGGAGAAUAAGCUCCGGCUAACUCCGUGCCAGCAGCCGCGGUAA
rnacentral:rRNA from 1 species